CAGUUCUGAAGGCAAGAGGAGGUCAAGUCAGUGCUAGCAAGAUCACUUCACAAAGUGGCCAGUUAUGACAUACAGGCUGAAGGGUGAGGGCUACUCACCAGAGGAGACACCAUCCAAGAAUACCAGAGAUAUGGACAAAGACAAGCUGAACAUGAACCUGCAGGCCAUGGUCUGAAGAAUUUGUUUCAAAGAGCAAGAAAUCAACGUAGAAAGAGGAAAAGAAAUCUGUCUGCUGGGAUUAUAGAAGAGCACCAAGAGGUCAGAAAGGAGGCAACAAAACUCCCCCCAAAAGUUGAAGAAUCCUG